AUUGAACGCUGGCGGCAGGCCUAACACAUGCAAGUCGAGCGGAUGAAGGGAGCUUGCUCCUGGAUUCAGCGGCGGACGGGUGAGUAAUGCAUAGGAAUCUGCCUGGUCGUGGGGGAUAACGUCCGGAAACGGGCGCUAAUACCGCAUACGUCCUGAGGGAGAAAGUGGGGGAUCUUUGGACCUCACGCUAUCAGAUGAGCCUAGGUCGGAUUAGCUAGUUGGUGGGGUAAAGGCCUACCAAGGCGACGAUCCGUAACUGGUCUGAGAGGAUGAUCAGUCACACUGGAACUGAGACACGGUCCAGACUCCUACGGGAGGCAGCAGUGGGGAAUAUUGGACAAUGGGCGAAAGCCUGAUCCAGCCAUGCCGCGUGUGUGAAGAAGGUCUUCGGAUUGUAAAGCACUUUAAGUUGGGAGGAAGGGCAGUAAGUUAAUACCUUGCUGUUUUGACGUUACCAACAGAAUAAGCACCGGCUAACUUCGUG
rnacentral:rRNA from 1 species